rnacentral:rRNA from 1 species
AUACGAACGGGGCUAGCGUUGUUCGGAAUUACUGGGCGUAAAGCGCGCGUAGGCGGAUUGGUCAGUUAGGGGUGAAAUCCCAGGGCUUAACCCUGGAACUGCCUCUAAUACUGCCAGUCUUGAGUUCGGGAGAGGUGAGUGGAAUUCCUAGUGUAGAGGUGAAAUUCGUAGAUAUUAGGAAGAACACCAGUGGCGAAGGCGGCUCACUGGCCCGAUACUGACGCUGAGGCGCGAAAGCGUGGGGAGCAAACAGGAUUAGAAACCCUAGUAGUCC